AUUGAACGCUGGCGGCAUGCCUUACACAUGCAAGUCGAACGGUAACAGGUCUUCGGAUGCUGACGAGUGGCGAACGGGCGAGUAAUACAUCGGAACGUGCCCGAGAGUGGGGGAUAACGAGGCGAAAGCUUUGCUAAUACCGCAUACGAUCUCAGGAUGAAAGCAGGGGACCGCAAGGCCUUGCGCUCACGGAGCGGCCGAUGGCAGAUUAGGUAGUUGGUGGGAUAAAAGCUUACCAAGCCGACGAUCUGUAGCUGGUCUGAGAGGACGACCAGCCACACUGGGACUGAGACACGGCCCAGACUCCUACGGGAGGCAGCAGUGGGGAAUUUUGGACAAUGGGCGCAAGCCUGAUCCAGCCAUGCCGCGUGCAGGAUGAAGGCCUUCGGGUUGUAACCUGCUUUUGUACGGAACGAAAAGACUCUGGUUAAUACCUGGGGUCCAUGACGGUACCGUAAGAAUAAGCACCGGCUAACUACGUGCCAGCCGCCGCAGUAACAC
rnacentral:rRNA from 1 species